rnacentral:rRNA from 1 species
ACGCGAGCUGGGUUCAGAACGUCGUGAGACAGUUCGGUCCCUAUCCGUCGCAGGCGUAGGAAAUUUGAGAAGACCUGUCCUUAGUACGAGAGGACCGGGAUGGACGUACCUCUGGUGUACCAGUUGUCCUGCCAAGGGCAUGGCUGGGUAGCUAUGUACGGAAUGGAUAAGCGCUGAAAGCAUCUAAGCGCGAAGCCAACUUCAAGAUAAGAUUUCCCACCGCAAGGGUAAGACCCCAGAAAGACUAUCUGGUUGAUAGGUCGAAGGUGUAAGUGCAGCAAUGUAUUUAGCUUAUCGAUACUAAUAGGUCGAGGACUUGACCAAG